CCCAGACUCCUACGGGAGGCAGCAGUGGGGGAUAUUGCACAAUGGGGGAAACCCUGAUGCAGCGACGCCGCGUGGGUGAAGAAGCGCCUCGGCGCGUAAAGCCCUGUCAGCAGGGAAGAAAAUGACGGUACCUGAAGAAGAAGCCCCGGCUAACUACGUGCCAGCAGCCGCGGUAAUACGUAGGGGGCAAGCGUUAUCCGGAUUUACUGGGUGUAAAGGGAGCGUAGACGGCAGUGCAAGUCCGGAGUGAAAGCCCGGGGCUCAACCCUGGGACUGCUCUGGAAGCUGUAAAGCUGGAGUGCGGGAGGGGCAGGCGGAAUUCCUGGUGUAGCGGUGAAAUGCGUAGAUAUCAGGAGGAACACCGGCGGCGAAGGCGGCCUGCUGGACCGUAACUGACGUUGAGGCUCGAAAGCGUGGGGAGCAAACAGGAUUAGAUACCCGUGUAA
rnacentral:rRNA from 1 species